rnacentral:rRNA from 1 species
CACGUAGGGUGCAAGCGUUGUCCGGAAUUAUUGGGCGUAAAGAGCUCGUAGGCGGUCUGUCGCGUCUGCUGUGAAAACUCAGGGCUUAACCCUGAGCUUGCAGUGGGUACGGGCAGACUAGAGUGCGGUAGGGGAGACUGGAAUUCCUGGUGUAGCGGUGAAAUGCGCAGAUAUCAGGAGGAACACCGAUGGCGAAGGCAGGUCUCUGGGGCCGUAACUGACG